rnacentral:rRNA from 1 species
AGAGUUUGAUCCUGGCUCAGGACGAACGCUGGCGGUGCGCCUUAUGCAUGCAAGUCGAGCGAAGCUUUUCAGUAGUUUACUACAGAAAAUGACUGAGCGGCGAACGGGUGAGUAACGCGUGAGCAACCUACCUUAGUUACUGGGAUAGCCCGAGGAAACUCGGAUUAAUACCGGAUAUUCUUAUUUAAUCACAUGAUUUUUUAAGGAAAGGUCAGCCGAACUAAGAUGGGCUCGCGUUCUAUCAGCUAGUUGGUAGGGUAAUGGCCUACCAAGGCUACGACGGAUAGCUGGUCUGAGAGGACGAUCAGCCACACUGGGACUGAGACACGGCCCAGACUCCUACGGGAGGCUGCAGCAGGGAAUAUUGCGCAAUGAGCGAAAGCUUGACGCAGCGACACCGCGUGUGGGAUGACGGAUCUAGGUUUGUAAACCACUUUCAGGAGGGAAGAAAAUGACGGUACCUCCACAAGAAGCCCCGGCCAACUACGUGCCAGCAGCCGCGGUAAUACGUAGGGGGCGAGCGUUGUCCGGAUUUAUUGGGCGUAAAGAGCUCGUAGGCGGUUCAACAAGUCGGUCGUGAAAGUUCAGGGGCUCAACCCUGAAAUGUCGAUCGAUACUGUUGUGACUAGGAUACGGGUAGAGGUGAGUGGAAUUCCGAGUGUAGCGGUGAAAUGCGUAGAUAUUCGGAGGAACACCAAUUGCGAAGGCAGCUCACUGGGCCGCUAUCGACGCU